GUCCAGCUGACGAGUCCCAAGUAGGACGAAACGCGCGUCCUGGAU
rfam:Schistosoma mansoni strain Puerto Rico chromosome W, complete genome